rnacentral:rRNA from 1 species
AGAGUUUGAUCCUGGCUCAGGAUGAACGCUAGCGACAGGCCUAACACAUGCAAGUCGAGGGGUAACAUGAGUGCUUGCACUUGAUGACGACCGGCGCACGGGUGCGUAACGCGUAUGCAACUUACCUUGUACUGGGGAAUAGCCCGUGGAAACGCGGAUUAAUGUCCCAUAACACUACAAUUUCGCAUGGAAAAGUGGUUAAAGUUCCGACGGUACAAGAUGGGCAUGCGUGACAUUAGCUAGUCGGUGAGGUAAGGGCUCACCAAGGCGACGGUGUCUAGGGGUUCUGAGAGGAAGGUCCCCCACACUGGUACUGAGACACGGACCAGACUCCUACGGGAGGCAGCAGUGAGGAAUAUUGGUCAAUGGGCGCAAGCCUGAACCAGCCAUGUCGCGUGCAGGAAGACUGCCCUACGGGUUGUAAACUGCUUUUGUAUGGGAAGAAACGUUGGUACGUGUACCAAUUUGCCGGUACCAUACGAAUAAGGAUCGGCUAACUCCGUGCCAGCAGCCGCGGUAAUACGGAGGACCCAAGCGUUAUCCGGAUUUAUUGGGUUUAAAGGGUGCGUAGGCGGUAGAAUAAGUCAGUGGUGAAAUCCUGCAGCUUAACUGUAGAACUGCCAUUGAUACUGUUUUACUUGAGUGUAAUUGAGGUAGGCGGAAUGUGUUGUGUAGCGGUGAAAUGCAUAGAUAUAACACAGAACACCGAUUGCGAAGGCAGCUUACUAAGUUAUAACUGACGCUGAUGCACGAAAGCGUGGGUAGCGAACAGGAUUAGAUACCCUGGUAGUCCACGCCGUAAACGAUGAUUACUCGCUGUAGGCAAUACACCGUCUGUGGCUGAGCGAAAGCAUUAAGUAAUCCACCUGGGGAGUACAUUGGCAACAAUGAAACUCAAAGGAAUUGACGGGGGCCCGCACAAGCGGAGGAACAUGUGGUUUAAUUCGAUGAUACGCGAGGAACCUUACCUGGACUUAAAUGUAGAUUGACGUAUCCAGAGAUGGAUAUUUCUUCGGACAAUUUACAAGGUGCUGCAUGGUUGUCGUCAGCUCGUGCCGUGAGGUGUCGGGUUAAGUCCCAUAACGAGCGCAACCCCUGUUGUUAGUUACCAGCACAUCAUGGUGGGGACUCUAACAAGACUGCCGGUGUAAACCGCGAGGAAGGUGGGGAUGACGUCAAAUCAGCACGGCCCUUACGUCCAGGGCUACACACGUGUUACAAUGGCCGGUACAGAGGGCAGCUACUUGGUGACAAGAUGCGAAUCUCAAAAACCGGUCUCAGUUCGGAUCGAAGUCUGCAACCCGACUUCGUGAAGCUGGAUUCGCUAGUAAUCGCAUAUCAGCCAUGAUGCGGUGAAUACGUUCCCGGGCCUUGUAC